AACUACCAAAAGCAGGAGUUGAUGAUGAUCCAAAAGUGGACAGAGUAGCUCCAAAAGCUGGUGAUGAUGAACCGCCAAAUGUUGUGGUGGAAGGAAAGGGGGAAGACGAUUGGGCUGCUCCAAACACACCCGUUGAUGUACCACCAAAUACUGUAUUUCCUGUCUGUGAGCCAAAUGGGGAUGUACUGCCAAAGGGCUUAGGUGCAAAAGGAU
rnacentral:misc_RNA from 1 species